GACGAACGCUGGCGGCGUGCUUAACACAUGCAAGUCGAACGGAAAGGCCCUGCUUUUGUGGGGUGCUCGAGUGGCGAACGGGUGAGUAACACGUGAGUAACCUGCCCUUGACUUUGGGAUAACUUCAGGAAACUGGGGCUAAUACCGGAUAGGAGCUCCUGCUGCAUGGUGGGGGUUGGAAAGUUUCGGCGGUUGGGGAUGGACUCGCGGCUUAUCAGCUUGUUGGUGGGGUAGUGGCUUACCAAGGCUUUGACGGGUAGCCGGCCUGAGAGGGUGACCGGCCACAUUGGGGCUGAGAUACGGCCCAGACUCCUACGGGAGGCAGCAGUGGGGAAUAUUGCACAAUGGGCGGAAGCCUGAUGCAGCAACGCCGCGUGCGGGAUGACGGCCUUCGGGUUGUAAACCGCUUUCGCCUGUGACGAAGCGUGAGUGACGGUAAUGGGUAAAGAAGCACCGGCUAACUACGCG
rnacentral:rRNA from 1 species